rnacentral:tRNA from 1 species
GGUGGGUUAGCUCAGAGGGAGAGCCGUACUGAACGAUCACCCCCCUUGUCGUCGCUUCAUACCACAUACUGAAUUUUAGUCGGCGAAUGCCGGCGCGAUUACAUCUUCAUAAGAUACAGGUCCGAGUUCGAUUCUCGGCCCCGCCA